rnacentral:rRNA from 1 species
CCCUUAGAUGUUCCGGGCCGCACGCGCGCUACACUGAUGCAUUCAACGAGUCUAAAACCUGCUCUGAUAGGGGUGGGUAAUCUUUUGAAUGUGCAUCGUGAUUGGGAUAGAUGAUUGCAAUUUUUCAUCUUCAACGAGGAAUGCCUAGUAAACGCAAGUCAUCAGCUUGCAUUGAUUACGUCCCUGCCCUUUGUACACACCGCCCGUCGCUCCUACCGAUUGAAUGAUCCGAUGAAUAUCAUGGAUUGAGGACUAUAGCAGGUUCGCCUGUCUUGAUCUUCGAGAAGUGAAGUAAAUCUUAUCAUUUAGAGGAAGGAGAAGUCGUAACA